UACGUAGGGGGCAAGCGUUGUCCGGAUUUAUUGGGCGUAAAGAGCGUGUAGGCGGCCAGGGAGGUCCGUUGUGAAAACUCGAGGCUCAACCUCGAGACGCCGAUGGAAACCCCCUGGCUAGAGUCCGGAAGAGGAGAGUGGAAUUCCUGGUGUAGCGGUGAAAUGCGCAGAUAUCAGGAAGAACACCAAUGGCGAAGGCAGCUCUCUGGGACGGUACUGACGCUGAGACGCGAAAGCGUGGGGAGCGAACAGG
rnacentral:rRNA from 1 species